rnacentral:lncRNA from 1 species
UUCCUUAUUCGAUUUCCAUUUCCUUAUUCGAUUUUCAUUUCCUUAUUCGGUUUCCUUUUUCCUUUUUCAAUGUUUAUUUCCUUUUUCAGUUUCUAUUUCCUUAUUCGGUUUCUAUUUCCUAAUUGGAUUUUCAUUUCCUUAUUCGAUUUCCAUUUCCUUAUUCGAUUUCCAUUUCCUUAUUCGGUUUCUAUUUCCUUAUUGGGUUUCUAUUUCCUUAUUGGGUUUCUAUUUCCUUAUUGGAUUUUCGUUUCCUUAUUCGAUUUCCAUUUCCUAAUUCGGUUUCUUUUUCCUUUUUCAAUCUUCAUUUCCUUUUUCAGUUUCGAUUUCCUUAUUCGGUUUCUAUUUCCUUAUUCAGUUUCCAUUUCCUUAUUGGAUUUUCAUUUCUUUAUUGGAUUUUCAUUUCCUUAUUCGGUUUCCAUUUCCUUUUUCGAUAUUCAAAUUUUGAAAAAUAUUACAAGUCCAAACUGAAUUUUUUUUUUCCUUCAAAUUUUUUUUUCCUCAAAAUUUUUUUUCCUCAAAAUUUUUUUUUCCUCAAAUUUUUUUUCCUCAAAUUUUUUUUCCUCAAAAAGUUUUCAAUUUUUUUUUCGUUUCCUUAUUCGGUUUUCUUUUCUUAUUCGAUUUUCAUUUCCUUAUACAGUUUCUAUUUCCUUAUUCGAUUUCCAUUUCCUUAUUCGAUUUUCAUUUCCUUAUUCGGUUUCUUUUUCCUUUUUCGGUUUCUAUUUCCUUAUUCGGUUUCUAUUUCCUUAUUUCCUUAUUCGGUUUCUAUUUCCUUAUUGGAUUUUCAUUUCCUUAUUCGAUUUCCAUUUCCUUAUUCAAUUUCCAUUUCCUUAUUCGUUUCUUUUUU